rnacentral:misc_RNA from 1 species
GUGUCCUCACUAGGAGAGGAGGUUAAAGCUCAGAUCGCUUCAUGGGCGUAUUGGGUUAACAGAGGGCGUGUGGUGUACCUUUCACCAUGGGGAUAUUCAGACGGAUAAAUGAUAUGGUGCCGGCCCGCGUUGCACUUGCAAUAAUCAGUGCACUCGGAACAACCAUGAUCUACAUGGUGAGAAUUAACCUCUCUGUGGCGAUCGUAGAUAUGGUGGUUAUAGUGUCGACAUCGGAUGCGUCAAGUCGUGCACGCACUACCCCGCAUUGUUUAGAGAGCUUGGAAGGUGAUAUAAGCAACAUAACAGGGAAUAUCGAUUCAAACUCCAAGAAUAAUCUAGUUCUCAAGAAUAUGACAUCUUCAAAAAUCAACUUUACUGACGAAGAGUUUACAGACAAGUUAUUCCUGACGAGCGGGCAGCGUGGGUCUGUGUUGGCGGCCUUUUUCUAUGGAUACUUUCUGACAGGCAUCCUCGGCGGAAGACUAGCAGAGACAUACGGAUCCAAAGUCGUACUAGGAACCUCGGCGUCCAUAACGAGCAUCCUGACCUUGCUGACUCCCGUCGCCGCCCGGACGCACUAUAUCGCCCUGAUCGUCCUCCGGGUUGCCAUGGGGUUGGCGCAGGGAGUGUCGUAUCCAUCCUUGCAUGCAAUGGUUGCAAGAUGGGUUCCGCCAGCCGAGAGACCGAGGUUUACCGCGUUUGUUUACAUGUCCAGCUGUAUCGGCGUCAUCGUAACCAUGCCAAUGUGUGGCGUGAUUAUCGACGCUGUGGGCUGGCCGGCCGUGUUCUACGUCUGUGGGUGUAUCUCCUUCCUGUGGGUGUUCCUGUGGGUUGCCUUCAUGCACGAGAGUCCGAUGGUACACCCGCGAAUCUCGGCGGAGGAGCGUGACUACAUCUUGGAUGGGAUCAAAGCGGGUGUUUCGGGGAAGAAGCCGACCCACGUGCCCUGGAAGCAGAUGUUGACCAGCCUUCCCUUCUGGGCGACGAUCGUAGGUCACACAGGGAGUAUGUACGGCUGGAAUCUGCUAGUGACCCAGCUUCCCACCUUCGUCAAUAGCGUCUUGGGAUUCUCCAUCAAGAGCAACGGCUUGCUCUCCUCGCUGCCUUUCCUGACUCGGUACCUCGGUGGGAACGGGCUCAGCUGGCUAGGAGACAUCCUCGUGACACGACAAUGGCUGCAGCGGAGGAAUUCACGUCGACUCUUCACAUCUAUAGGCUUGUGUGUUCCCGCCGUGAUGCUCGCCAUUGUAGGAUACGUGGGAUGCAACAGUGCAGCUGCCAUGACCAUCCUGUGUAUCGGGACCUUCUCCAACGGCGCGACUGUGUCCGGAUACGUGGCCAAUCAGCAUGAUAUUGCGCCCAACUUUGCCGGUACUAUGUUAGGUAUAAGCAAUAUGUUUGCUUUCGGAGGGGGUAUGCUGGCUCCGAUUGUGGUGGGCGUGUUGACACCUGACCAGACUCCGAGUCAGUGGCAAUCAGCCUUCUGGGUAGCUACCGUAGUCUACGCGUUAGCUGCAGCAUUCUUCUUCUUCUGUUGUUCAUCUGAUCUACAACCUUGGAACUUUUUGGGUUCCGGAGAUGCGGAGGAGGCCAAGGAGAGAGAAGAAGGCAUGACCUUCCUACAGGAGAAGCAGAAGGUGCAGGUGCUGGCCAAGAAAGAACAAAAUACUCAUUGUUAGGAAUCGGAGCAAGGAUAGGCCUAUUUUUUUGUUUUCUUUUAUCGCCGCUACGUGAGUUUCUGAGAGCUGUAACAAGUGAUAUAAAACAAAACACGGAAAGCACCCUAGUUA